GAACUAUGACAAGUACGAUGACAAGUACCUUCGUUGGCAUACCCUACUGCUUCUUCUGCUGCAAUUUCUAGAGAAGACGAAGAGGUACGCGGGCAGGGGCACAUCGGCAGCAAGAGCGCUUCAUGCGUUUCCUCUACCAAUUGUCUUCGGCCCAUUAUAAUUGGGGGCAUAGAAGACGUAAUACAUAUCAGCAACGUCCUCCGCCAUCUGAACAGGAAUAGUGCUUUUGUGAUUGGAACUCGAGCGUUAUUUUAGAAGAAAAGUCUGUUGCUCUGUGAUUUAUGCUAAGUUUGUACUGUUUUUAAGUUUG